GAUAAAUCGUCCACAUAAUUUCUCAAAGAAAUUAAUUUGUCAUCCCUUGACAAGUUCAAAGUUGUAAAAGAGUUUCCCACUAUGAAGAUGUCGGAAGUUCCCCUCAAAUUUGAAACCCGUCUAAUUGCUUCGUUAAGAGCAGACAUCCGUUUUUUUUAAGGUCAUUUGGUGAGACCUGAUGUGGCUCUUGCAUGGAUGCAGGUGUUGUUCUGUGUUCCUUGAAAAAAAUCAAGAGAAGCAUCAAUUAAAAGAAUUUUCAUGGCUUCUUAACGUACUUUCCAUGUCAGGGGAAGUUUCAUUUUCUUUGCUAAUUGCAACUAUACUCUCUUUUGAAAGUAAGGCAUGUUGAAAUAUAUUUCUCUAACAAACUUA